UUUUCAAAAGUGUGGGCAUUGCAAGAAUAUAUUAUAUAUAUAUUAAAUGGGCGGAAAAGCUUUCUUUUACCUGUUACAUACUUUUGGACUCAACGGGUAUAUGUAUAUAGAUACUGUUAAGCAAAUGAUGUACGCACUAUUAUACAAGAACACGAUAAAAGAAGAAACCUCUAAUUCUUUCCUUAUUAUAGUCUCUGCCUUUUAAAAAUAUUCAAAAGCAGCUAAAUAAAAUCGACCAAUCCAACAUAAAGCUCUGAAACAACUGGUUAUGGGUAAAUUAUUUUUAUAAAAUAUAUAGGUCUGUUGAUAAUUAAUGAUAUCAAGAAAUGGCCUUUAAGUGAGGAGAGAACUCACAGAACCUAGUUAAAACCCAUAUGGAAACGCACAAGCAAAUAAAAUCUUUUUUUAAAAUUAAAGAAAAUAAGGGUCAGACUAAGUGGUACGGUCAUUAAUACCGCUGACUAACCGAUCUACCGAAAACCGCAUAUAAAAAAGGAAUCUAGCAAUCAUGGCUAUUAAUACAAGUAUGUUAAUUCGUAAGAGUAGUUUCUAUAAUUAUCUUUUAGGCACACUACAAAAUAAAACUACAACUAGUAAUGCUUAUAAGGUAUACUAAUAUAAGGUAUAUAUACUUGUAAGAGAACACACUAUCACCAUUGAAUAGACAAUAGACACUUUAUUACAUUCAUAAAAAAACAUUCAAAGAAAUGUAUUUCGUACAUAUGCUAUCAUACAAGUGUUUUUACUUAUUUCACAAAGGCGCACGAUACCCUAGUGACCAACUGCUGCUACAUAGCCAAAUCGCUAUAGAUAGACACAAAUGAUUUCGUGUCUCACUAACACUAAUACUAAGGUGAUCAAAUCGAUCCCUACGAGCUAAACAACGAACAGAAAAAACGGUCCGUCAGCCAAUAGACACACUAGAAGUCAGCAAUUAAUGUCAAAGGGAAAAGCUAAAUGUUCAAUGUGUCGCAGUCAAAGUCAAAACUGACCUUUGUGAAUCGGCAUUGCGUUAAUCUAUUGUCCACCAAAUUUUUAACGUACUGCUGACGAUUUCGAUGAACUUUUUGACUACCUGGGAUUAUUAUCGUCUCUGGAAGUCUCUAGGCUCAACCCCCUGCGGACUUUGUUCACAGUUCAAAUGUCCAGGUCCUUGCUACUGGAGAGCACACGCAUUAUCCACACAGCCAAAGAACAAUGGCUUUGCUGUCUAUAAAGGGAUUCGGAAUGAGUGUAUCCUAACAACUGAAAGUCUUGAGCUUAAUUCUGAUCACAUUCCAUUAUUCAUAUAACAAGAGAGAAUACUAUAGUCGAGUUCCCCGACUACCUGAUACCCGUUAUUCAGCUGGUGGAAGUGCGAAGGAGAAAUUCAACACUGACAGUUUUUGGCGGAGAAUUUUACAAGACUAAUAAAAAUAAGGAACAAACAUCAACUCAUUUUUCAAAUUUGUGGGCGUAGCAGAUUUGGGCGUGGUAAUAGAAUGGGUUAACAAGCUUGCGAUGCAUCUAUGUAUCUGGAAAUUGUAUGCUUAGAUUCAACUCUCUAGCUUCCAUAGUUACUGAAAUCUCGACGCUCAUACGGACGGACAGACAAAGAUGAUAGGAUAUUCCGUAACGCUGACCCCACCAAACCAAAGACAUUACAAUAACAAGAUGCGUAACGGCCAUACAUUGGUUUUGCACUAUGCAGCCACUUCUUUGGUGACGACCAAAAUUGCUCUCCUUUCGCUCGCCUAAAAUCGAGAGCGUUAAAAUCU